UACGGAGGGUGCGAGCGUUGUCCGGAAUCACUGGGCGUAAAGGGCGCGUAGGUGGCGUGGUAAGCGUGCGGUGAAAGCCCGGGGCUCAACUCCGGGUCGGCCGUGCGAACUGCCAUGCUUGAGCACGGUAGAGGCCAAUGGAAUUCCGGGUGUAGCGGUGGAAUGCGUAGAGAUCCGGAAGAACACCGGUGGCGAAGGCGGUUGGCUGGGCCGUUGCUGACACUGAGGCGCGACAGCGUGGGGAGCAAACAGG
rnacentral:rRNA from 1 species